CGGGUGAGUAACACGUGGGUGAUCUGCCCUGCACUUCGGGAUAAGCCUGGGAAACUGGGUCUAAUACCGGAUAGGAGCCAUUUUUAGUGUGAUGGUUGGAAAGUUUUUUCGGUGUAGGAUGAGCUCGCGGCCUAUCAGCUUGUUGGUGGGGUAAUGGCCUACCAAGGCGGCGACGGGUAGCCGGCCUGAGAGGGUGGACGGCCACAUUGGGACUGAGAUACGGCCCAG
rnacentral:rRNA from 1 species